rnacentral:rRNA from 1 species
UACGUAGGGUGCGAGCGUUGUCCGGAAUUAUUGGGCGUAAAGAGCUCGUAGGCGGUGUGUCGCGUCGGCCGUGAAAACCUGCAGCUUAACUGUGGGCUUGCGGUCGAUACGGGCAUCACUGGAGUUCGGCAGGGGAGACUGGAAUUCCUGGUGUAGCGGUGAAAUGCGCAGAUAUCAGGAGGAACACCGGUGGCGAAGGCGGCAUCCUGGACCGGCAUUGACGCUGAGGCGCGAAAGCCAGGGGAGCAAACGGG